CCUACGGGAGGCAGCAGUCGAGAAUCAUUCACAAUGGGGGAAACCCUGAUGGUGCGACGCCGCGUGGGGGAAUGAAGGUCUUCGGACUGUAAACCCCUGUCAUGUGGGAGCAAAGUAAAAAGACAGGACCACAAGAGGAAGAGACGGCCAACUCCGUGCCAGCAGCCGCGGUAAUACAGAGGGCCCAAGCGUUGUUCGGAAUCACUGGGCGUAAAGCGUGCGUAGGCUGUUUCGUAAGUCGUGGGUGAAAGGUGCGGGCUCAACCCGCGGACGGCACAUGACACUGCGAGACUAGAGUGAUGGAGAGGAAACCGGAAUUCUCGGUGUAGGAGUGAAAUGCGUAGAUAUCGAGAGGAACACUAGUGGCGAAGGCGGGUUCCUGGACAUUAACUGACGCUGAGGAGCGAAGGCCAGGGGAGCGAAAGGGAUUAGAUACCCCAGUAGUC
rnacentral:rRNA from 1 species